UUCAUAGCUUANGUCUAUGAAGAACAGCAAUGUUCCUUCCGCAGAGUACACUUGCAGAAGCCUUAGUGGCCUGAAAGGGUUUCACCAGCGACUCUAAACAAGUAGGUGGAUUAAAUGCUAGUCUCUUUGGAAGAGGCAACACUAUCAAAUUGCGGGAAGAUCCUGUCAGGUCCACAUCACCGCGGCUCACCGAAAGGUGCAGUGCAGCACCAGGCUAACAACCUUGGGUAUGGUAACAGCAUGUGGAAUAGGGAGAAUCUGCAGCCAAGCCCCUUCUCUUGGGGUGCAGUUCACAGGCCAAAUGGUAGUGGGCACUCUGGUGCUUAAGAUAUGGUCGAGUCCCAAUUGGAAAGUUGGGUACAAGUACUCUGAUUGAUUACAUAGUUGUAAAUGCAAAUGUUCCGUAGGUGAACCUGC
rnacentral:rRNA from 1 species